CCACAGCCAGGUAAGCCAAUCAGCUCUUUUUCUCAGGGAACCUGCUGUGCAAUGGCUGCAAGCAACAGACCCCCUGGGAAUUCAUGCAGCCUGUUGCUUGUGGGGUUGCCCUCAAGAACCCUGGAGUCCACU